AAAAAUUUUGGAGUCAUCCUCUCUUUCCUUCCUCUUUUUCUUUCAAAACUACAUCACAUCAGCUAGCUCAUGCUGUUGGGUCUUCAAAAUAUAUCCACACUCUAACCACUUCUCCAAUCUUCUUCACUGUAUUGGACCAAGUCUUCAACAUUUUCCAUCUGGAAUAUUUUAAUAAUCUAAAAACUAGUCUUCUUGCUUCCAGAGUCAAUUUUCAACACAUUAGCAAGAGUGAGUCUCUUAAAAUGUAACUCAGACCAUUUUGUUCUCCAAACCCUCUGAAAGAGUAAAAGCCGAUGUCUUUAUAUCAGUGUAUGAGAAGUCUUGAUAUGAAGGCAGUAAGCACCAGUACAGCAACAUAGCAUGGUUUCUGAUUGGGCUGGCAUUUUUGCUGGUACUAUGAAAAAAUAGUUGUUAAAUACUUUAAUUUCUUGCUUCUGAAGUUCUCUACCCCGUUCUUGCCUUUUCUUAGAUAAUCUCUUAAGAAUCUCUCCUUUAUUUACUGCUGCCAAACUGUCAUCUUUGCUGUUCCAGGAACUUGCUAAGCAUGCCUCUACCUCAGGACUUUCGCAUUUCUGUUCCCUUUGCCUCUAAUUUCAGAUAUCCACGUGGUUUAUUCCCUCAUCUUCUUCAGGUAUUUGCUUAAAUGUCAUCUUCUUUGUGAGGACUCUCUUUCCUAAUUUUAGAUGAAACAGCCCUGUGGUUCUUCAUAUUCUCCUUUCCUGCUGUAUUUCCUCUCCAUAGCAUUUAUCACCUGAUACACCAUACAGAUUAUUUAUUUACUUUGCAUUUCCCCCCAAUAGCAAUGUGAACUCCACAAGGGCAGGAAUUUUUGUCUGUUUACUACUGCAUUACUGGUGCCUUGUACAGUCCCUGGAACUUAACAAAUCCAAAAUGAUUUCAUGAGGAUCCUAAUUUGUUUCAGCAAGUUAUGUAACGGCCAAUAGUAUGAAUUGAAAGAGUUUCUUGUUGUCUUAAUUUAAAAAAUUUUGUUAUUUAUCUUCAAAGGGGAAAUUUUACCCUCUCAUGAUAAUAGAAUCAUGAAUCAAAAAUGAUAUCCUCUUCUCCCCAAUUGUGAUCUCUAUCCCUGAGCCUAAGUUUUACAUCAGUAUUUCAGUUUUGUCUUUAGAAGUUACUCAACGAUCACUGGACCCUAUAUCUAUCCACAUGGCUUACUCUUGGAGAGACUACAAGAUAGCUCAGGGGAAAAGUCAUUUUGAGAUUAAAACUACAUGGAAUUGUUCUUUAUGGAUUAUCAUGGUUAAUUUCAAUUUUUAAAAAUAUGCAGGAAGUUAAAAGACUAUAAUUCCAGUAUUGGAAGCCAGUUUAAGAGAAUAUGACUAUGUAGUUACUUUUAAUGGAAAGGGGAAGAAGAGGAAGAAAAAGGAAAGACAUUGUGUUCGUAUCUUCUCUGCAACAAUUAUAAAAUGAAUGAGGAAGUAUUUUGGUGUUUCUAAGGUCUUUCCAUGAUCUUGAAAUCUAUAUAUUAUAGUCAUUUAGUCUGUGAACCAUUUUAACAAUUGGGUUUCAUGUUACAUAUCUUUAAAUUUUUAUGUUGAAAAUUUAUAGCUGUGACACAAGAUGAUAGAAAUUGCUCAUGCUCACAUAUAUUCCAACUGGCUUUUCAGCUUGCUCCCUUCUCUUUUAAUUUCAGCUAUCAUUUUUAGAGCCUUACAGUCACAAUUGUUCUUAACUAUCCCAAAUUUUUAUUUCCUAUUUGGACUGACUUCUCCAUAAUUUUAGUAACUAAAUGACCUAGAUAUUGGUUCUUGUUGUGAUAGGUUUCUGAUUUGUAUCCUUUGCAGUUUAACUUUUAAUCCUUACCAAACAUAUGUUAUUCCUUUUCUUCAGCUACAUUGUUGUGCCUUUCCCAACACUGUAAUAAUUUAAGCCUCCUGUUUUAUAAUCUUCUAUCAGAACAUAUAUUAAGAAGACACUGAAUUUAAAGAAUCAGCAGGUGAUGUUGAAGAAGAAAUAUAACCUGAAAUAUAAGAAUAGAUGUUUGAAACUGUUUCAGAAGUUAACCAGUCUUUUAGUGGCUUUGUAAUGGGUAGGGGUUUUAUUCCUCUUUGUGUGCUAUGUAGGACAUUGUUAACCAAUAUAGAUUAUGUUUCUUGUCAGUUACACAAGGAUAGGUAAUCAGGGUUAACAGUUCGGAAAACAUUCUCUAGAGAAGAGACUAAUGAUUCUUGCUCACAAACAAGGCAGAAUUUCCUUAUGUUUCUUAAUAUUUGAUCCUUGAUAGUCUGUACAGUGGAAACCAUUUCCCUCUGUGAUAUCCUUUUUUGCCAACCUAUAUGAAUGUGUUUAGCGUCACUUCAGAUAUAGAGUUCAAGCUCAAGUAUACACAGCACAUGAAAGAUCCUAUAGUUCAUGUUCUCUUAGGUUGAAUUUUCUUUUCAUAAUUUUUUAUGAUUGAAUUCUAAGGGUAUGUUCCUUGGUAAAUUGUGUUAAUUAUGUCCACUUUAUAAUGGAUUUAACAAUUUUACAAAGCAGAUCAUUGUUUAUUAUAUUCUGAAAACCAUUAUAUUAAUAUUUUAUUUCUUUUUUUGCAGAGAAACUAUUGUCUUUUUUGAUUUCUGAGGAUGAAUGAAGUACUGUUAAAUAAAAUGUCACUAAAUG
rnacentral:lncRNA from 1 species